UUGAAGGCCUACUUUGAUGCU
rnacentral:siRNA from 1 species